UGCUUCUUUCUAUCUGUUCCUAGGUGUGUU
rnacentral:piRNA from 1 species